rnacentral:rRNA from 1 species
CCCAGACUCCUACGGGAGGCAGCAGUGGGGAAUAUUGCACAAUGGGGGAACCCUGAUGCAGCGACGCCGCGUGGGUGAAGAAGCGCCUCGGCGCGUAAAGCCCUGUCAGCAGGGAAGAAAAUGACGGUACCUGAAGAAGAAGCCCCGGCUCACUACGUGCCAGCAGCCGCGGCAAUACGUAGGGGGCAAGCGUUAUCCGGAUUUACUGGGUGUAAAGGGGGCGCAGACGGCGAUGCAAGCCAGGAGUGAAAGCCCGGGGCCCAACCCCGGGACUGCUCUUGGAACUGCGUGGCUGGAGUGCAGGAGGGGCAGGCGGAAUUCCUGGUGUAGCGGUGAAAUGCGUAGAUAUCAGGAGGAACACCGGUGGCGAAGGCGGCCUACUGGACUGCAACUGACGUUGAGGCCCGAAAGCGUGGGGAGCAAACAGGAUUAGAUACCCUGGUAAG